UGCCAGACUCCUACGGGAGGCAGCAGUGGGGAAUAUUGGGCAAUGGGCGCAAGCCUGACCCAGCAACGCCGCGUGAAGGAAGAAGGCUUUCGGGUUGUAAACUUCUUUUGACAGGGAAGAGCAGAAGACGGUACCUGUCGAAUAAGCCACGGCUAACUACGUGCCAGCAGCCGCGGUAAUACGUAGGUGGCAGGCGUUGUCCGGAUUUACUGGGUGUAAAGGGCGUGUAGCCGGGCUGACAAGUCAGAUGUGAAAUCCGGGGGCUCAACCCCCGAACUGCAUUUGAAACUGUUUUUCUUGAGUACCGGAGAGGUCAUCGGAAUUCCUUGUGUAGCGGUGAAAUGCGUAGAUAUAAGGAAGAACACCAGUGGCGAAAGCGGAUGACUGGACGGCAACUGACGGUGAGGCGCGAAAGCGUGGGGAGCAAACAGGAUUAGAUACCCGCGUA
rnacentral:rRNA from 1 species